GCGCUUGUAGCUUAAUGGAUAGAGCAUUGGUUUCCGGAACCAAAGGUUGGAGGUUCGAAUCCUCUCAGGCGCG
rnacentral:tRNA from 1 species